UACGUAGGGUCCAAGCGUUAAUCGGAAUUACUGGGCGUAAAGCGUGCGCAGGCGGUUGUGUAAGCCAGAUGUGAAAUCCCCGGGCUUAACCUGGGAAUGGCAUUUGGGACUGCACGGCUAGAGUACGGCAGAGGAGACUAGAAUUCCUGGUGUAGCAGUGAAAUGCGUAGAUAUCAGGAGGAAUACCGAUGGCGAAGGCAGGUCUCUGGGCUGACACUGACGCUCAUGCACGAAAGCGUGGGGAGCAAACAGG
rnacentral:rRNA from 1 species